UCCAGCACGCGACUGACGCUCAUGCACGAAAGCGUGGGUAUCGAACAGGAUUAGAUACCCUGGUAGUCCACGCGGUAAACGAUGAUAACUAGUUAUUCGUCCCGAUUGAGGGGUGAGUGACCGAGCGAAAGCGUUAAGUUAUCCACCUGGGGAGUACGCCGGCAACGGUGAAACUCAAAGGAAUUGACGGGGGCCCGCACAAGCGGAGGAACAUGUGGUUUAAUUCGAUGAUACGCGAGGAACCUUACCCGGGCUCAAACGCAUGGCGCUAGACCCUGAAAGGGGUUGUUCUUCGGACGUCAUGCGAGGUGCUGCAUGGUUGUCGUCAGCUCGUGCCGUGAGGUGUCGGCUUAAGUGCCAUAACGAGCGCAACCCCCAUCUUCAGUUGCCCCCGGGUGAAGCCGGGCACUCUGGAGAGACUGCCGGCGCAAGCUGUGAGGAAGGCGGGGAUGACGUCAAAUCAGCACGGCCCUUACGUCCGGGGCGACACACGUGUUACAAUGGCGGGGCACAGCGGGAAGCCAGGCGGCGACGCCGAGCUGAUCCCGAAAACCCGUCUCAGUUCGGAUCGGAGUCUGCAACCCGACUCCGUGAAGCUGGA
rnacentral:rRNA from 1 species